rnacentral:snRNA from 1 species
GGAAAGUAAGGCUCACCAA